GAUGAGCGCUGGCGGCGUGCCUAAUACAUGCAAGUCGAGCGAACGGACGAGAAGCUUGCUUUUCUGAUGUUAGCGGCGGACGGGUGAGUAACACGUGGAUAACCUACCUAUAAGACUGGGAUAACUUCGGGAAACCGGAGCUAAUACCGGAUAAUAUUUUGAACCGCAUGGUUCAAAAGUGAAAGACGGUCUUGCUGUCACUUAUAGAUGGAUCCGCGCUGCAUUAGCUAGUUGGUAAGGUAACGGCUUACCAAGGCAACGAUGCAUAGCCGACCCGAGAGGGUGAUCGGCCACACUGGAACUGAGACACGGUCCAGACUCCUACGGGAGGCAGCAGUAGGGAAUCUUCCGCAAAGGGCGAAAGCCUGACGGAGCAACGCCGCGUGAGUGAUGAAGGUCUUCGGAUCGUAAAACUCUGUUAUUAGGGAAGAACAUAUGUGUAAGUAACUGUGCACAUCUUGACGGUACCUAAUCAGAAAGCCACGGCUAACUACGUG
rnacentral:rRNA from 1 species